ensembl:snoRNA JC8.15 ncRNA
CGCACCUUGUUUUCACGCAUUCUCGGUCAGUUUUCUCGAGAUUCAACGCGUCCAGAAAGUGUGCUAUAUAGAAAUAAAGAGUACUUUAUAAGGGCCAUACACGGUUUAAUUUACCCCGGCUAUGGUAGUUUAACGGUGCUACAAAU